UACGUAGGUGGCAAGCGUUGUCCGGAUUUACUGGGCGUAAAGAGCGCGCAGGCGGCUGGUCAAGUCCGAUGUGAAAUCUCCCGGCUCAACUGGGAAACUGCAUCGGAAACUGAUCGGCUUGAAGGUGGGAGAGGGUAGUGGAAUUCCCGGUGUAGUGGUGAAAUUCGUAGAUAUCGGGAGGAACACCAGUGGCGAAGGCGGCGACCUGGACAGAUGAUUGACGCUGAGGUGCGAAAGCGUGGGGAGCAAACAGG
rnacentral:rRNA from 1 species